rnacentral:rRNA from 1 species
GACGAAGGGGGCUAGCGUUGUUCGGAAUUACUGGGCGUAAAGAGUGUGUAGGCGGUGCUCCCAGUCUGUUGUGAAAUCUCCCGGCUUAACUGGGAGGGUGCAGCGGAAACUAGAGUGCUAGAGGGUGGGAGAGGUAAGCGGAAUUCCUGGUGUAGCGGUGAAAUGCGUAGAUAUCAGGAGGAACACCUGUGGUGUAGACAGCUUACUGGACCACUUCUGACGCUGAGACACGAAAGCGUGGGUAGCAAACAGG